ensembl:lncRNA
CCUGGGUCAGGAAGAUCUCCUGGAGUAAGAAAUAGCAACUCACUCCAGUAUUCUUGCCUGGAAAAUUCCGUAGAUGGAGGAGCCUGGCAGGCUACAGUCCACGGGAUCACACAGAGUAGGACACGACUGAGCGACUGAGCAUGCGUGUAGGAGGUACCGGUCCAUGUUUCUGCUCUCAUGAAGCAUUCUUAUAGUGGGAAACAAACCAAACAGGCAAACACAUAUGUGAAUGACAUGAUUCCAGAUAGUGAGCCUUGAAGACAAGAAGACAGAAUGGUGUGCUGAGAUGUACAGUGCUGAGCAUCUCAUCACCCACGGGUACUACUGCAGGAGUAGCUGUCGUGUUUCCGAUGCUUCUACCUUUAAAGUAAAAGUCGCUCAGUCGUGUCCGACUCUUUGCCGCCACGUGGACUGUAGCCUACCAGGCUCCUCCGUCCAAGGGAUUCUCCAGGCAAGGAUACUGGAGUGGGUUGCCAUUUCCUUCUCCAUUACCUUUAGGUCCCAGUAAUCUAAAAGCUUCUUUAUUUGGGCCCAAUCAUGUACAUGGAGCACCUAUUAUGUAACUAUAAUGUACUUAUAUCAUCUUUAUUUUACACUUCGGCAAGACAUUGAUUACAAACAUGAUGCGCGCGAGCGGGUGACAUUAUCCUUACUUUCUAGUCACAGACGAGCGGGUGGUUUACACUCCAGCCUUCCGUAGGGAAAGCGGCGCUUGGGUCCGG